rnacentral:lncRNA from 1 species
UAUUCAAUAUUUGACAAAUCUAUCCACCAAAAUAUGGCAGAUGAAGCUGGAUAUUGGUCCUAGAAGCCCUCUAGCAUUUGUUACUUUCAUCUGGUUCAUUAAGCAUGGUUCAGUGAAUUGUUGCAACUUGCGAACAGUUAGAGAGCACCUAUGAAACCUAAUGUAGCUUCUCAACUGUGAUUAUCCAUCUCCACAUCAAAACAGAAUGCUCUGAUGCCGAUCGGCACAGGAUUGCUUUCUAGAGUAGGAAGCUGUGUAACUUCCUGGGAAAAACAAACCAUCUCUCCCUUCGCUGCCAUAUUUGCUGCAGUCAUUUUGGUGUAUCUAGAAUGGCCAGAAUGGGUUACCAACAGGACCAAUUCCAGCAGGAAGGCGGGAAAAUCCAGUAUGUAGCCAGAGAUUUGAUUUGGUCUUAGUUUAAAAAUUAAUUGCUUCAUAUGGGAAUCUAUAUUUGACCUGACAAUCUUCGUUUUUUCUUCAAGCUGACUACUAUUCGACAUGGUUUGAGACCAACAAUGACUGGAGUCUUACAUUUGAUAAACCUUCUUUGGCAUGGCAUCUCUCUCUUCUCCCACACUCCCAAUACCCUCUAACUCUCAUUUUAAAGCUCGUUUGUUUCCCUUCCAUUAUCUUAAGGGCUGCAAGAGUUGCGAUGCGUAAUGUGUUUGGGAUGAAAUAAUGAGAACUUGACCAUCUUUCUCUUUAUGCUCUGUGAUGGAGGAUUUUAGUGCCUUAUCUUCUGUUUACGUUGAAGGAGAGCCUUGGAGUAACUGGUAAAGUUGCUGCCAUGUGACCAGGAGGUCACGGGGUCAGCCCUUGGAAACAGCCUCUGACAGAAAUGCAAGGUAAGGUUGUGUACAAUACACCCUUGUGGUGGGGCCCUUCUCCGGACCCUGCGCAUAGAGCCUUAGUGCACUGGGCUGCCCUUUUUAUCUUUAGUUGAACUUUGUUUUCCUUUUUUUUAAUCGAUAAGUUAUCCUCCAUUUACUACUAAGUCGAUAAUCACUGGACUUUCUGAUUUUAUCAAGUUCCCUUGCUGUCUACUGGUCUGCCUAUACUCAAUAAAUAACAAAUCUAUCCACCAAAAUAUGGCAGAUGAACCUGGAUAUUGGUCCUAGAAGCCCUCUAGCAUUUGUUACUUUCAUCAUGCAUGGUUCAGUGAGUAGUUACAACUUGCCAACAGUUGAGAGCACCUAUAAAAGCAAUCCUGUGGCCCAUGAGAGUAAUAGACUAGCCACCCCAGUCAAAACAAAAAAUGAAGGAUAAGGAAGGUUCUCUUGCUUGGCUGUGUUAUUCGCUGUAGUCAUUUUGGUGUAUCUAGAAUAGCCAAAAUGGGUCGUCAACAGGACAAGUUCCAGCAGGAAGGAGGGAAGAUCCAGUGUGUAGGCAGAGAUUUGAUUUGGUCUUAAUGCGGCAAAUUAGAAGUUUUGAUAUUAAUCUGAAAAAAAAA